rnacentral:rRNA from 1 species
AUUGAACGCUAGCGGCAUGCCUUACACAUGCAAGUCGAGCGGAGUGGCGAACGGGUGAGUAAUGUAUCGGAACGUGCCCAGUAGCGGGGGAUAACUACGCGAAAGCGUAGCUAAUACCGCAUACUAUUGGAGCGGCCGAUAUCGGAUUAGCUAGUUGGUGGGGUAACGGAUUACCAAGGCGACGAUCCGUAGCUGGUUUGAGAGGACGACCAGCCACACUGGGCCUGAGCAACGGCCACGACUCCUACGUGAGGCAGCAGUGGGGAAUUUUGGACAAUUGGGUAAACCCUUAUCCAGCCAUCCCGCGUGUGCGAUGAAGGCCUUCGGGUUGUAAAGCACUUUUGGCAGGAAAGCGGUACCUGCAGAAUAAGCACCGGCUAACUACGUGCCAGCAGCCGCGGUAAUUC